UGAGGAAUAUUGGUCAAUGGCCGGAAGGCUGAACCAGCCAAGUCGCGUGAGGGAAUAAGGCCCUACGGGUCGUAAACCUCUUUUGUCAGGGAGCAAGGCCGCCCACGUGUGGACGGAAGGAGAGUACCUGGAGAAAAAGCAUCGGCUAACUCCGUGCCAGCAGCCGCGGUAAUACGGAGGAUGCGAGCGUUAUCCGGAUUUAUUGGGUUUAAAGGGUGCGUAGGCGGCCUGCCAAGUCAGCGGUAAAAUUGCGGGGCUCAACCCCGUACAGCCGUUGAAACUGCCGGGCUCGAGUGGGCGAGA
rnacentral:rRNA from 1 species